AGCCCGGCCGGGGGGUGGGCCCCGCUUCCGCCGUGAGUGGGGCGCUGGGGGCUCGGCGUUCCCACCCGCAGUAUUUAAAGCGGAAUGGCGCCUGGCACUCCCAAGCGUCAAGCCCCCGGCCACGGAAACGUAGGCCCUUGUUGGCCCCGGACUCUGCCCGCUCUCCAGGCUGAUUUGCGAAGCUGGCGCCUGCCCCGGGCUCCUUGGCGCCCCGGGACGGGGUUUGUCUGCAGGCGCACGGCUGACUUCGGGGGCUGAUGGUUCUGUGUUGUGCGCUGCCCUGUGCGCGGUGGACGGCGAGCGGCACCCCUGGCCUCCGCCGUGCGCCGGGUGCCGGUUCCACGCCCGCUCGCCGGGCUGGCAGCCACGCUGUCGGCAGGCAUUCCCAGUGGUCCCCACGAAGGACCGCUGUCCCAGAAGCCAGGCUCAGAGCCUGUGUCCUUGUCACACGGAUGGCUUCCCGCUUCCCUUCAACCCUCAGGUGUCCACUCCCUAGCACCUGCAACAGUGACCGGCACGUGGGGGAGUGGAACAGUGUCCGUAAGAACUGGCCCGAGCGUGGCUUCCGACGUGGGACCCACGGCUGAAUGAUGGGACUAGCGCGGGACCGGUGCUUCUAACUUCCUCUGUCUUCAAGGCCAGCUGAGAGAAGCAUGGAGCCGUUACCUGGGCAGUGGGCUUGCAGGGUUUUGUAAAAACCACUCUGAGAAUGUGACAGAGUAUCCCUGGCCAGGUCUGGGCCUGAGCCUUAGGAAGGUCUCGCAGCUUCUCCUUUGGUGCCUUGGAAGCCCUGAACCACCAUGGAAGAAGUUCAGGCACCUUGCCAGAGAGACCACGUGUCGAAGAAGAGUCUGCAGCUGUUGAGAGGAGGUCCCCAUCAUCCCAGCCGACCUGCCGGCCCAAGGAAACCACUCAAGGCACCCACAGCAAGACCAGCAGAAACUGCCCAGCUGAGCCUCAGCCCAGGUGGCAGAAUUGUGAACAAAUGAAAUACUUGUUAUUUUGAACCCCUAAGUUCAGGGCAGGAUUGUGAGGAAGCAUCGGAUGAUGAAAACACACCUGUCUUCUCCCAUGGCCAUAAUCUGCUGACACCAGGUAGCAGUCACUGUCUGAUGUGGGGCAUACACUUUCCAGCUUACUUAAGGCCCGCUCACUCUCUGUUGUCUUAUUUUCUUACCGCAGAGAAUUCUUCUCUCUUCACACUGUCUGGCGCACUAGCCGGUAGCCACGUGUGGCAGUUUGAACUUAAAUUACUACAAGUUUAAUAAAAUGAAAAGUUCUGUGCCUCAGUCACACCAGCCACAUUUCAGGUGCCCAAGAGCCUCCUGCGACUGGUGGUUACCCCGGUGGACAGCGCAGUAUAGAUCACCCCACCUUUGCAGAAAGUUCCAUCCGACAGCGCUGCCUUAUACGAAUGUGCAGUGUGCACCCUCCUGUGCUUCCAAACAGGAUUCCAUUCGGCUGUCUGCUCUCAAUUUGUGCUGCCCCCCUCCCCCUUGCUCCCCACCAGCUACCCAUGCAGCUCAGGAAAAGCUAACUUCAUCUUUGUUUCUGGAUCUGACUAUUCAGAACCAAUGCUGGUCUCUCCUGCCUCUUCACAGUGACUGGUGUGGAAACCCAGACUGUAACCAUUCAAGACAGGACAUUCCCCCAGGGCCCAGCAGAGCACAAAUGACAUGAAUUGGCCCAGUCAGCCAAAAGAAAGGACUCUUGUUCCAUGACUGUAACGGAGACACACUCUUCCAAACUGGGCAUGAAUUCGGGAGCCGGGAGCCCUCACUGCUGCUGGCAACUGCCUCACAAUCAUGAGCCGAGCCAGCUCAGGACGUGGAUGGCACGUGGAGAAUCAGGGAGAAGUCAGAUAGUAAAGAUCAUAAAGCUUACACUGUUCAGGCUCCUGUGUUGGGUUUUCUGUUACUUGUAGCCCAAAGCCACCUGUCAUGGCAAGCAGGAAAAUAAAAGAAUAAGAGAGGGCAGCCUGAUUUUUUCCUCGCACUUGGUCCAGUUUGCUCGUAGAGUUUCUGCCUGGCCCAUAUAAUCAGUGUGUUUUUAGCCCCUGUGCUAAGCCCCAACGAUGAUAGCGCUAAAGAGCUGAUGUAAGUUGACUCUCACCACUUUAUGGUGUAAACUUGGAAUAUGCCCCUGUUCCUGAAAGUAAUCGUGGGAGUCUCUCCUUUGCACCUCAAAUAAAUAAGUACGUGACCUAACUCACACAGCUGGCAUGUGGACAAAAGGUAACCUGGUCUUACAAAGUACAGUUUUGUGAGCAGUCCCUUCACCUCAAGGGCUCUCUGGGAAAUAGGACCUUACUGCAAGGUCGCUUGUGGUGUGGACUGGAAGGCUCCGUUUGCUCUGAUGCAGGACCUUUCCUUCUCCGUCACUACCCUGUCCCCUGUCCCUGCUCAGUGCAGAGCCCAGAGGAGAUGCUAUCUGAUGGAGUGAAUUCAGAAACCAGUGGGGACCGAGGACAUUUCAGGGGCCGUCGACUUUUUCGUGGUGUUCCUGCUUCUCAUGUCACAUCUGCAUGGCUCAUCCUGUGCCACCGUAUAGCUCUAUCUGCUGGCUCAUAGUUUCUGCUUUCUCAAAACGUGGGUCUACAGGUGGCCAUCCUGGACGUCCUGUGCCUUCUGUACAUCACUAACCAGCCCUCCUCCACCUGUCAUCACUGCUCAGUGUCAGUACGCAUGGCCGAUGCUUCUGCUGUCCUGCUUCCCCAGUUGCAUCCCAGGGACCACGACAGGCCCAGCACGUCUCUGCACCAGGCCACAGUGUGACGCAUCAGCUGCAUUGAAGUCAGGCCAUCCGUCCAUCUCUUGACUCUCCUCGGGUACAAAGUUGUUGUAAGUUCUGGUUGUUUAUGGGAGUCCCUGUUGUCACAGUUCUGUCUGGCUGCAAAGCAUGUAGGUAAAAGCAGAAAAUAUGAGAAGUAAAAACAGUCAACCUGUGGGAUGGAGUCAGGCCUUAUUUUCUUGAGCCCAAAACAAAGUCACACUAACCUGCUGUUGUGAGAAUUAAUUCAGCUUUCAGAAUGACUUGUGUUUUAUUUUUACAGGGCAGAUGAGAGUGUGUGGCCAGGAAGAUGGGUUUUGGUUUGACUUUUUUCAAACACUCGUUUUCUUCGACCCUUGUGAGCAGCAACCUCUACUUCUUGGGUUCCUUUUCUCCUGUGCUUUAAAUCGCCAUGAGACAUCUGCAACAGGCAGGCAUUAACCGACGGAAAGGGGGAGGGAGGAGAGAGAAAAGGAACUUCUGCUUCCUUCCUUUUGAAGAAGUGCAAGACAUGGGGCUGCACCUGCCCAUUCUCUUUCAAUUCCCACUCUUACAGUUCCUUGUAAAUAUCUCCAUUCCUAUCGCUGUGGUAAAACAGCCAGCGGCCACAGCAUGUUUGUGUUUUAGAUUGGGCCUUACAGAAGAGGUCCGUGGAGAUGAACACGAAGGACGAACACUGAAGCAUGUGUGUGAAAUGAUUCAGCUUGUGGUUCUAAGGGCAUGCCCAACACAUGGAGAAAAGAAGGGAUUAUUCAGUGAAUUCUGUUGGGGUGAGCGACUAUACACAGGGGAAAAACAGGCUUCACAUUUCAGACCAGCAUAAAUUCCAGCAUAAAUUUUCUAUCAAAAGCAUUACAUGAAACUAUUGGCAAACAGAAAAUCUCAAGGCAGGGAACGCUUUCCUAAGCCUAACACCAAGGCCAUAAGCCAUUAUAGAAAACAUUAAUUGUUUUGGGGUUACAUAAAAACUUAAAACUUAUUUGCAUAAAAAAGGAUAAGUGCAGUUGGCAGCAAACAAACUUUAAAAAUACUUGAAAUACGUAUGACAAAGUUAAUGUCUUUAUUUUGUAAGUUCUUGGAAUCUUACGGGAUUUCUUGGGUAAAUAUCCAAUAUAUAAAACCGGCAAAGUGAAUGUUCGGGCGUCGUAGAAGAGAGCGGUCCUCUGGUGCUGCUCAGCAUCUCUUCUGCUAGGGGCACCUCGCUUUUCAGCUCCUGGGGUGGUGCAGGCAGGACUGGCUGUCCCCUAGGCUAGCUGUGAUCAUGGUCAUGUGAUCUAAGCCCAUCCAAUGUCAGGAUUCCAUCUGUUGAGCUACAGUGAUUGGCUCAAAGACGGACCCCAUUUUGGUCUAAUCAGAGCUGAUCCCUUGACUUAUUCUGGAGGACCAGGAAUGAACUGUUCCUUCUGCUUGAUUUGUAAUUCUAAAGAUAAUAAGCCUAGAGUUGCCAGGGGCCAUCUUGUAAAACUUAGGAAUGAAACAACUCAGAAAAGAGUAGGGAUGAAGAGAGAAAGACCUUGUUUGAAAAAGACAUGUUCCAGGUCCAGGUUCUGCCUGUCACCUAAAGUAGCUUUUGUCCUGGACAUUUCAGUUGUGAGCCCGUGACUUCCCUUUCUGAUUAAACAAUUGUGACUUUCAGUCCCUUGCGAUUGGAAAAGUUCCAGCUAAUAGAAGCAAUACAUACACAUGCACACACACACACGGGAAGAAAAUGCCCUUCAAGGGGAAAAAAAAAAGUCAAGUUACACCAGUAAUUUAAAAAUGCAGAAAGAGGGGACAUGUCACUUGAGCUGAAAAACAGUCAGUGUUGGCAAUUGUUGGGCAGUCAAGUGAGGGUACUCAUAAAUGGUCGAUGGAGAGGUAAAUUUGGUACAACGUUUCUAGAGGGCAGUUGACUUUAUAUCAAAACCACGUUUGCCUACACUCUGAAUGUGUAGUACCGCUGCUAGGAAUUUAAAAAUGCAUGCAGAGACGGAGCUGUAAAAUGUUCAUCACAGUGUUGCUUCAAAUAGCAAAAAAAAAAAAAAAA